GGGCCUGUAGCUCAGGUGGUUAGAGCGCUUCUCUGAUAAGGAAGAGGUCCCUGGUUCGAGUCCAGGCAGGCCCACUA
rnacentral:tRNA from 1 species